rnacentral:rRNA from 1 species
AGUGAACGCUGGCGGUAGGCCUAACACAUGCAAGUCGAACGGCAGCACAGUAAGAGCUUGCUCUUACGGGUGGCGAGUGGCGGACGGGUGAGGAAUACAUCGGAAUCUACUUUUUCGUGGGGGAUAACGUAGGGAAACUUACGCUAAUACCGCAUACGACCUACGGGUGAAAGCAGGGGAUCUUCGGACCUUGCGCGAUUGAAUGAGCCGAUGUCGGAUUAGCUAGUUGGCGGGGUAAAGGCCCACCAAGGCGACGAUCCGUAGCUGGUCUGAGAGGAUGAUCAGCCACACUGGAACUGAGGCACGGUCCAGACUCCUACGGGAGGCAGCAGUGGGGAAUAUUGGACAAUGGGCGCAAGCCUGAUCCAGCCAUACCGCGUGGGUGAAGAAGGCCUUCGGGUUGUAAAGCCCUUUUGUUGGGAAAGAAAAGCAGCAGGUUAAUACCCCGCUGUUCUGACGGUACCUAAAGAAUAAGCACCGGCUAACUUCGUG